GAUCUUAGAGUCCUACUUGGAUACCUGUGGUAAUUCUAGAGCUAAUACACGCAAUCAAGCCCCAACCUUACGGGCGGGGCGCAUUUAUUAGAACAAAACCAAUUGGCUUCGGCCAUAGCUUGGUGAAUCUGAAUAACUACGCUGAUCGCACGGGCUUGUCCCGGCGACGUAUCCUUCAAGUGUCUGCCUUAUCAACUUUCGAUGGUAGUUUAUAUGACUACCAUGGUUGUAACGGGUAACGGAGAAUAAGGGUUCGACUCCGGAGAGGGAGCCUGAGAAACGGCUACCACAUCCAAGGAAGGCAGCAGGCGCGCAAAUUACCCACUCUCAGAACGAGGAGGUAGUGACGAAAAAUAACGAGACAGUUCUCUAUGAGGUCUGUCAUCGGAAUGGGUACAAUCUAAACCCUUUAACGAGGAUCUAUUGGAGGGCAAGUCUGGUGCCAGCAGCCGCGGUAAUUCCAGCUCCAAUAGCGUAUAUUAAAGUUGUUGCGGUUAAAAAGCUCGUAGUUGGAUCUGCGGUCACAGACGCUGGUUUCCUUCACGGAAUACUGG
rnacentral:rRNA from 1 species